CUACUACCGAUUGAAUAGGAUYAGUAGAGCUCCASGGNAUUGAGGCGCCUUUGAGAGCAACCAAAGGUAGUUUCUGAGAACUAGAGAUCAAACUUAGCUCAUUUACGAGGAAGUCAAAAGUCGUCAACACAGGUU
rnacentral:rRNA from 1 species